rnacentral:rRNA from 1 species
UACGUAGGGUGCAAGCGUUAAUCGGAAUUACUGGGCGUAAAGCGUGCGCAGGCGGUGAUGUAAGACAGUUGUGAAAUCCCCGGGCUCAACCUGGGAACUGCAUCUGUGACUGCAUCGCUGGAGUACGGUAGAGGGGGAUGGAAUUCCGCGUGUAGCAGUGAAAUGCGUAGAGAUGUGGAGGAACACCGAUGGCGAAGGCAGCCCCCUGGGUUAACACUGACGCCACUCAGGCACGAAAGCGUGGGGAGCAAACAGG